rnacentral:rRNA from 1 species
GCGAACGCUGGCGGCGCUACCUAACACAUGCAAGUCGAACGAGAUCACUCGGUUAGGCAAUAACUUGGUGGUUCUAGUGGCGCACGGCGUUGAGUAACACGUGGGUAACCUGCCCGCGAGUCUGGAUACCCCCUCGAAAGGGGGCUAUACGGAUACGUUCCAUCGGAUCGAAAGGUUUGGGGAGGGAAAGGUGGCGAAAGCUGCCGCUCUUGGAGGGGCUCGCGGCUAAUACAGCUAGUUGGCGGGGUAACGGCCCACCAGGCUAUGACGGGUAGCUGGUCUGAGAGGACGACCAGCCACACGGGGACUGAGACAGCCGGCCCGACUCCUACGGGAGGCAGCAGUGGGGAAUUUUCCGCAAUGCGGCGAAAGCCUGACGGGAGUGACGCCGCGUGUGGGACCGAAGGCCUUCGGGUCGUAAACCACUGUCAGUGGGAAAGAUGGAUUUCGGCGCGAUAACCGUCGGCAUCUGACGGUACCUGCAGAGGAAGCCCCGGCUAACUCUGUGCCAGCAGCCGCCGGGUAAGACAGAGGGGGCAAGCGUUGCUCGGAAUUACUGUGGCGUAAAGGGGCGGCGUAGGGCGGGAUGGCAAGUCGUCGUGAAAGACCUCGGCUCACUGAGGAGCGUCGAUCGAUACUGCUGCCGUAUCUUGAGGAUUGCAGAGAGACUGGAAUUCCCGGUGUAGCGGUGAAAUGUGUAGAAGAUCGGGAGGAACACCGGUGGCGAAGGGCGAGGUCCUCUGGGCAAUUCCUGACGCUGAGGCCGCGAUAAGCGUGGGGAGCAAACGGGAUUAGAUACCCCGGUAGUCCACGCUGUAGACGAUGACGACUAGGUGUGGGGGGGUUCAGUCCCUUCCGUGCCGCAGCUUAACGCAUUAAGUGCGUCCGCCUGGGGAGUACGUCGCCGCACAGGUUGAAACUCAAAGGAAUUGACGGGCCCCCGCACAGCGGUGGAGCAUGUGGUUCAAUUCGAUGCAGAGCGAUAAGCCUACCUGGCUUGACAUGUAGGAAGUAGAAACCGGAAACGGGGACGACCUGUUAAGUCAGGAGCCUACACAGGUGGGUGCAUGGCUGGUCGUCAGCUCGUGCCGUGAGGUGGUGUGGGUUAAGUCCCGCAACGAGCGCAACCCUCACCACUAUUUGCCAGCGGGUUUAUGCCGGGCAGCUCUUAUGGAACUGCCAGCGAGAGAGCUGGAGGAAGGGGGGGAUGACGUCAAGGUCCGUAUGGCCCCUUACGUCCAGGGCUACACACAUGCUACAAUGGCCGGUACAGAGGGUUCCCAACCCGCGAGGGGGGAGGCCAAUCCCACAAAAGGCCGGUCUCAGUUCGGAUUGCAGGCUGCAACUCGCCAUGCAUGAAGUCGGAAUCGCUAGUAAGCGCAGAUCAGCAGGCUGCGCUGAAUACGUUCCCGGGCCUUGUACACACCGCCCGUCACACCAGCGAAGAGGCUGGUUGUACCAGAAGUCGCGUGAGCCAACCGCAAGGAAGCAGGCGCCGAAGGUAUGGUCGGUUGAUUUGUGGG